rnacentral:rRNA from 1 species
AUUGAACGCUGGCGGCAUGCCUUACACAUGCAAGUCGAACGGUAACGCGGGGCAACCUGGCGACGAGUGGCGAACGGGUGAGUAAUGUAUCGGAACGUGCCCAGUCGUGGGGGAUAACGUAGCGAAAGCUACGCUAAUACCGCAUACGAUCUGUGGAUGAAAGCGGGGGACCGUAAGGCCUCGCGCGAUUGGAGCGGCCGAUAUCAGAUUAGGUAGUUGGUGAGGUAAAGGCUCACCAAGCAGACGAUCUGUAGCUGGUCUGAGAGGACGACCAGCCACACGGGGACUGAGACACGGCCCAGACUCGUACGGGAGGCAGCAGUGGGGAAUUUUGGACAAUGGGCGCAAGCGUGAUCCAGCAAUGCCGCGUGCAGGAAGAAGGCCUUCGGGUUGUAAACUGCUUUUGUACGGAACGAAACUGCUCUGGUUAAUACCUGGGGCUAAUGACGGUACCGUAAGAAUAAGCACCGGCUAACUACGUGCCAGCCGCCGCGGUAAUAC